AUAUGCCACGCGUCGACUCCGGUUCCUUCGCGCCGUCCACACCCAUCUGACGACUGCUCGUUACGUUGUGUUGGCC
rnacentral:sRNA from 2 species